CGGGGUGAGUAAUGCUUGGGAAUCUAGCUUAUGGAGGGGGAUAACUACGGGAAACUGUAGCUAAUACCGCGUAGAAUCGGGAGAUGAAAGUGUGGGACCUUCGGGCCACAUGCCAUAGGAUGAGCCCAAGUGGGAUUAGGUAGUUGGUGAGGUAAAGGCUCACCAAGCCGACGAUCUCUAGCUGGUCUGAGAGGAUGACCAGCCACACUGGGGCUGAGACACGGCCCAG
rnacentral:rRNA from 1 species